rnacentral:lncRNA from 1 species
UGAAGCUCAAGAACGUGCUUGUAAAACAGCUGCUGCUUAGCAAUGUUUUUUCUUGGGUGAAUAUGCCAGAAUGUGGAUACAUACAUAGAACAGGCAGGGAGAAGAGUAAGAAAAUGAAUCUGGAAGAAAAUUGGUGAAUCCAACCCAGUGGACCUGGAAGCACUCUGACAGGCUCAGAGAGCAGAGUCUGGACCAAAGAGCAAUUACCCCACCAAACGAUUUCAGAACUGGAACUGAAAGCGUGAUUUCAGUAUUGAAAGGAAUUUUCAGAAGCCUGCUCCAGAUAAAGCUGGAAACGCAAUAAAAAUGUGUAAGCAUGG